rnacentral:rRNA from 1 species
UACGUGUGAGGCAAGCGUUGUCCGGAAUUAUUGGGCGUAAAGAGCUCGUAGGCGGUCUGUUGCGUCGGCUGUGAAAACCCGGGGCUCAACUCCGGGCCUGCAGCCGAUACGGGCAGACUAGAGUUCGGCAGGGGAGACUGGAAUUCCUGGUGUAGCGGUGAAAUGCGCAGAUAUCAGGUGGAAUACCGGUGGCGAAGGCGGCCAAUUGGCCCAACACUGACGCUGAGAUACGAAAGCGUGGGGAUCAAACAGG